UCUUUUAUAUGAAUUUCAGAUAAUAACGACGCAUAUUACCGAAAGUGAGUAUGUCGAUUUUGAGAGAAAUCGAAGGACUGUGACUGUUGGAGCAGAAAGAGUGAUCUUGGAACCAAUGAAAAAGAUUGAAGAGUGGAAUAAAGAAUUAUCAAAGAUUCCUGAUGUGGAAUCCUUUGAUGUGUUGGUGUAUUUAAUGAAUAAGUGUGGUUAGAGUGCUGAUCGUCUUAUAAACUACAAGAAGGACAAUGGGUAUCGACUUUCUGUGGCAAACCAUAUUGACAGUGUCCAGGUAUCCUGUGGAUUACACCCUGAAUUUAUUUACCUAAAAUGCACGUGUGUACCAGAGACAAGACAGUCUGCCGAGCCAUAUAUUCCAUGGAUUAUGCUAAGAUCUACAUCAGGAGAAAUAAUAUCUGGUGGCUGUACCUGUGUUGCGGAUAAUGGAGCUUGUAAACAUUGAGUGGCCUUCAUAUUUUCCUUGUCCAGUUUCUGUGAACGACUCCAAGACCGAAGUGCAGAAGUAUGUACUGAUGUUCCAUACAUGUGGGACAAGCCAAGGAAGAAAACUAUGCCAAGUAAAAUCACAUAUAUCAACACUAGAAUGGACCAGUCAAACCCACCCCCCUGUUGUCCCUACACCAGACAACUAUGACCCUAGAGUUCAUGGGACAAGUCUUAGUAAUGAGAAAGAGUUUUACAACCUUUGCAAGGGUACAAAUGCAUUAGAUUUAGAGACUUUAUAUAGUGAAGAUAUGGACAGUGAGAAUGGCGAUGAAAAAUGCACUGUUGUUACUAUGGAAGAAGCGUUCAAGACAAAUCGGGAUGACUUAACAGGUGAUAUGUGUUCCAUCAAGAAAAACUAAGAGAAAUUUUUAACACCGAACGCAUAGGUCAAAUUGAGGAGUCUACUAGGUCAAAGUGAAAAUUCAGAAUGGUUUGCUCACAGAAAGAUUGAAUAACAGCUUCCAUAUUUUCUUCUGUCAAACAUUUCAGAUUUACUGAAAGUCAAGAAAAUUAUAUUUCUAAACAGAUCAUGGGAAGAUCAACACAAAGAGCUACUCCUGCCAUGUCCUUUGGUACUUUAAAUGAACCUAUUGCUAGACAUCAGUACUUUGAAAAGUAUAAGCAUGAUCACAAAAAAACUGAUGUAAAGUUGUGUGGGUUAUUUAUUGACCCUGAUUCUCCAUAUUUAGGGGCUUCACCAGAUGCCCUAGUAAAAUGCAAAUGUUGUGAGGGUCUUUUAGAGAUGAAAUGUUCAUUUUUAUAUCAAAAUAAAGAUCCGAAAGAAGCAUGCAUGGAUGAUCAUUACCAUGUCACUUUAGACGAGAAUGAAAAUAUUCGCUUAAAGAUUGAUUCUCCCUGGUACAUUCAGAUACAAGGUCAGUUGGGUGUGUGCCAUAGGAAUUGGUGUGAUUUUGUCUUUUUUACAAAGAAAGGGUUUAUUGUUGACCGGAUAUAUUUUGAUGAGGAAAUAUACAAAACAUUGUGAUCAAAGCUAGUAAAUUUUUUGAAAGAUACAUCAUUCCUGCACUUCAAGCUAGUUAUAUAGACCUUCCUUAAGAAUAACUUCUUA